rnacentral:rRNA from 1 species
UACAGAGGCCUCAAGCGUUAGGCGGAAUCACUGGGCUUAAAGCGCGUGUAGGUGGAUUUUUAAGUGCUUUGUGAAAUCCCACGGCUCAACCGUGGAACUGCUGGGCAUACUGGAAGUCUUGGGCUAUCUAGGGGCAACCGGAACAAGCGGUGGAGCGGUGAAAUGCGUAGAUAUCGCUUGGAACGCCAAAGGUGAAGACAGGUUGCUGGAGAUAUGCCGACACUGAGACGCGAAAGCCAGGGGAGCAAACGGG